rnacentral:tRNA from 1 species
GACCCUAUGGUCUAGCGGUUAGGACACCACCCUUUCACGGUGAGAGCCCGGGUUCGAUUCCCGGUAGGGUCG